GAUGAACGCUGGCGGCGUGCCUAAUACAUGCAAGUCGAGCGAACGGACGAGAAGCUUGCUUCUCUGAUGUUAGCGGCGGACGGGUGAGUAACACGUGGAUAACCUACCUAUAAGACUGGGAUAACUUCGGGAAACCGGAGCUAAUACCGGAUAAUAUUUUGAACCGCAUGGUUCAAAAGUGAAAGACGGUUUUGCUGUCACUUAUAGAUGGAUCCGCGCUGCAUUAGCUAGUUGGUAAGGUAACGGCUUACCAAGGCAACGAUGCAUAGCCGACCUGAGAGGGUGAUCGGCCACACUGGAACUGAGACACGGUCCAGACUCCUACGGGAGGCAGCAGUAGGGAAUCUUCCGCAAUGGGGGAAAGCCUGACGGAGCAACGCCGCGUGAGUGAUGAAGGUCUUCGGAUCGUAAAACUCUGUUAUUAGGGAAGAACAUAUGUGUAAGUAACUGUGCACAUCUUGACGGUACCUAAUCAGAAAGCCACGGCUAACUACGUG
rnacentral:rRNA from 1 species